UACAGAGACUGCAAGCGUUAUUCGGAUUCACUGGGCGUAAAGGGUGCGCAGGCGGCCAAGUGUGUGAGGCGUGAAAGCCCGGGGCUUAACCCCGGAAUUGCACCUCAAACUACAUGGCUAGAGCAUUGGAGAGGGUAGCAGAAUUCAUGGUGUAGCAGUGAAAUGCGUAGAUAUCAUGAGGAAUACCAGAGGCGAAGGCGGCUACCUGGACAAUUGCUGACGCUCAGGCACGAAAGCGUGGGGAGCAAACGGG
rnacentral:rRNA from 1 species